CUUCUUUUAUAGUACUCAUGCACCUUUACAUGCUUUGUGUAUUAUCAAUGUGGGACAACAUUAAAUUGUAGUGCUUAUUAGUUCAUAUGUGUGUAUAUAUACUCUAAUAAGCACAUAUGAUCUGGCAUACACAUAUUUGUCUGCAGGAAAAACCGAAAAAGAAUACAAAUUAAUCCUCUACCUGAAAAGAAAAUGUUUGUAAUCAAUAAUGGGACUGCAAUGCUAUUCUGACUAGUUUCAGAAUCUGAGUCUUCUAUGGGCAUAAGAUUUCUUUUAGCUUCUUGAUUUCUAGCAGUGAUCAUACACUCCAUAAUUAACAUAAUUGCAACUUUCAUCUCUUUUCUCAUACUAUAAACUACACAUCUAAAAUGUAAGACUAAAAUUGGUGGGGUGUGCCAAGCCAAGGCAAUAGUGCAAAACCAAGGCGACACUCAAAGACCCAGGCAGCAAGCUACCUUGGUGGAUCUUUCCCCUUAAAAAAUUGAGUUAAUAUCGUGUGAGCCAAUGGCUCACGUAUCAGAUAUUAAACUGAUAAGAACAGAUACUACACUUGAUCUUAGCCAAAAGGCCGAGAAAGGUAUGCUUUUCACUUUUGACAGCCCGCUUCUUUUAUGUUGCUAAUGUCCCUUCGCAUUCUCCCUACAGAAUCAAUGUGGGAACAUUUCAACAAUCUGGGAAAUAGAAGUCUGAUCACUCUGAUGAUAUGCAGAUGCUUUAUAUUUCAAUAUAUGCAAGUCUGAAACACUGUAGUUUAUACUUAUGAAAUGCCCUCAUCUUCAGACAUUAGUAUUGGAAAAGGAUCAUUGUUGUUGUUGCUGCUCUUACAGAUAUACCAGAAAUACCUUAGACUAAAAUUCAUUUUAUUAUAUUGCGUGUUCAUUUUUAGUG